rnacentral:lncRNA from 1 species
ACUUCUGGGAUUGUUUUCUCUUUCAGAAAGCGCUACUGCGGAGUGAACCGGUCCUUAUAUCUUAGUUUCGUGACUUUGGGGGCGGCAGGCCUGUGAGUUGUUUUCCGCCCUGGACGCUGUUUUGCAAAGAUCUCUGCGCGCCCACCGCCACCCUCCCGGGCGUGCGGGCCGGGAAGCAGCCAGCGGUGGGAAACUCCGACGCCCUCCUCGACACUUUUCUCCCCCCAACUCCCCAAGACUCACUUCUAGGGAAGUCCUUUUUCCCAUCAAGCCCUGGGAAAGACUGGCCAGGCUGAGAGAGGGACCCGUCCUCCUCUGUGCCAAAGGCGGGAGCAAAUCCUGGUGCUGUCGCCUUUGGAUGAAACUUUUCGCGCAGAAACUCCUGGAGAACAGCCCCGGCCGCCAGGUACUCGCCCGCCCGGACCGCAAAGCCCACAGAGCUUCAAUUCGCAGGAAGGGGAGUGGGGAGCCCUGAGCUGGGGUGUUCCUGGAAGAGGUCGGGGAGCGGGGGGAGAGGCAUUCCAGGCUGGAGGCCUGGAAACGUUUGGAAGCUUUGCUAACCUUGGAGACCAUGUCAGGAAAGAAGCGUACCCAGGCCGUCUGCUGUGUGCCCACCCCGAUCCCCAUCAGUGCCCCACGCACUCGAGCUCUUCUUCGGCGUCUGCAGCCUCUUCAUCCGCGCGGAGAGGCGGAGGUCUCCCGGAAACAGUGUCCGACUGUGGCACCCCAGAGCGUCCAAUGCGAGCUCAGGCCUUUCCCGCAAGUCUGGAGUUUUCUUAUCCAGUUGAGGCCGCCUUCGCUGUACUCACUCUCUGCCUCCCACCCCAUCUUCUGCCACCCGACCUCCAUCUUUGAUGGUUAGCGCCUUCAGCCCUCAACAGCUUCGCACAACCAACCCCUAGAAGCCGUGGAGUCAGACCGGCCAGGGUGGGACCUAGGUUUUAACUCGGGUUCUGGCUACACACGCUGCGCCUCCAUACAGUUUGUCCCAGGUUUGGCAGCAGGCCGGCUACCUUCAGGAAUUCUUUGCUUUGGCUUCUGUCUGUUCCUGUCUGUUGGGCAAGUUUCUAGCUACCCCACUGAGAGAACCAUAGAACAAGGACCCUGGCAUGGCAUACAGACAAGGAAUGUUUGCUGAAUUAAUGGAGCUGGUGCCUUGCAGCUUCCCUUUUGUUCCUUGAAGUUGCCCUUGCUCUCCUCCACAUCAGCUCCCUCUCCUCCUCAGCUACUUAUUCCCCACCCUGGCUUCUUCUAGUCGCAGUCCCCAAGUACUUGCUGAAUCCUGUAUGGACAGCCUAAGCCUCCAUUUCUGACAAUUCCUGUGGCCCCACUCCAUUUGUUUUUUAGACUUCUCCCUCCUUUUUGUCCCCAUCCCCCAAGUUAUAAAACUAUAAUGCAAUUCUUUGGAUUUUUCUUUAAAAAAUCACACUUGUUCAAUCCUGCAGCAGCCACUGUCCAACUCUAGCCUUCUCACCACCGCUGAAUUAGGAAACCUCCUAAGAGGCCCGCACCCGCACUGUAUGCUGCAGCAUACAAAGACAGCUGAGAGCUCCCCUCCAGGAAACCUUCCCAUCACCAAAAAGAGUGGUGUGGGAGGCCUGGUUUCACACAUAUAGGGAUCCUCUACCCUUCUCCUUUGGCAAGACAUUGAGGGCCCAUGGCCAUAGAGGACAGGCCCUUCUUCACAAUGAAACUCAGAGGAUUUUUGAAGAAGGCAGGACACAGCAUGAGUGUGAGGCAGGAAGAAUAAGGCAGAAGAGAGGUGCUUUUUAAAAGUUUUUAUUUC